AGAGACUCAAUUCUUAGGUUUUCAUAUCCAACGUUUGACCGUCUAUCUUAUAUAAAUUUCUUUUAUAAUUAGUGUUUUCAUUAUUGUUAGAUGAUAAAACAUGAACAAUAUUUUAUGAACGACUUAUCUUUUUAUUUUUUUCAUAAUUUUUUCAAAUAAGACGGACGGUCAAAUGUUAAACACGGAAACCCAGGAAUCAAGUCAUU
rfam:Oryza barthii chromosome 4, whole genome shotgun sequence.